rnacentral:tRNA from 1 species
GCGCCUGUAGCUCAGUGGAUAGAGUAUUCGACUCCGACUCGAAGGGCCGUGGGUUCAAAUCCCGCCAGGCGCACCA